CCCUUAGAUGUUCUGGGCCGCACGCGCGCUACACUGAUGCAUUCAACGAGUUUCUUCCUGGUCCGAGAGGAAUGGGUAACCUUUUGAAAGUGCAUCGUGAUAGGGAUAGACUAUUGCAAUUAUUGGUCUUCAACGAGGAAUUCCUAGUAGACGUAGUUCAUCAGACUGCAUCGAUUACGUCCCUGCCCUUUGUACACACCGCCCGUCGCUCCUACCGAUUGAGCGAUCCGGUGAAUGUUUUGGACUGGCGUCAGAAGCGGUUCGCUCCUGACACUACGAAAUUUUGUAAACCUUAUCGCUUAGAGGAAGGAAAAGUCGUAACA
rnacentral:rRNA from 1 species